rnacentral:rRNA from 1 species
UACGUAGGGCGCAAGCGUUAUCCGGAAUUAUUGGGCGUAAAGAGCUCGUAGGCGGUUUGUCGCGUCUGCCGUGAAAGUCCGGGGCUCAACUCCGGAUCUGCGGUGGGUACGGGCAGACUAGAGUGAUGUAGGGGAGACUGGAAUUCCUGGUGUAGCGGUGAAAUGCGCAGAUAUCAGGAGGAACACCGGGGGCGAAGGCGGUGGCCGGGGCCGGCACUGACGCGGAGGAGCGAAAGCGUGGGAGCAAACAGG